AUUGAACGCUGGCGGCAGGCCUAACACAUGCAAGUCGAACGGAAGCACAGAGAGCUUGCUCUUGGGUGACGAGUGGCGGACGGGUGAGUAAUGUCUGGGAAACUGCCCGAUGGAGGGGGAUAACUACUGGAAACGGUAGCUAAUACCGCAUAACGUCUUCGGACCAAAGAGGGGGACCUUCGGGCCUCUUGCCAUCGGAUGUGCCCAGAUGGGAUUGGCUAGUAGGUGGGGUAAUGGCUCACCUAGGCGACGAUCCCUAGCUGGUCUGAGAGGAUGACCAGCCACACUGGAACUGAGACACGGUCCAGACUCCUACGGGAGGCAGCAGUGGGGAAUAUUGCACAAUGGGCGCAAGCCUGAUGCAGCCAUGCCGCGUGUAUGAAGAAGGCCUUCGGGUUGUAAAGUACUUUCAGCGAGGAGGAAGGCAUUGUGGUUAAUAACCGCAGUGAUUGACGUUACUCGCAGAAGAAGCACCGGCUAACUCCGUGCCAGCAGCCGCCGUAAAAC
rnacentral:rRNA from 1 species